GGGUACGAUCAUACCAGCACUAAUGCACCGGAUUCCAUCAGAACUCCGCAGUUAAGCAUGCUUGGUCGAGAAUAGUUCUAAGAUGGGCUUGUCUUAUGACUU
rnacentral:rRNA from 1 species